rnacentral:rRNA from 1 species
GAUGAACGCUGGCGGCGUGCCUAAUACAUGCAAGUCGAGCGAACGGACGAGAAGCUUGCUUCUCUGAUGUUAGCGGCGGACGGGUGAGUAACACGUGGAUAACCUACCUAUAAGACUGGGAUAACUUCGGGAAACCGUAGCUAAUACCGGAUAAUAUUUUGAACCGCAUGGUUCAAAAGUGAAAGACGGUCUUGCUGUCACUUAUAGAUGGAUCCGCGCUGCAUUAGCUAGUUGGUAAGGUAACGGCUUACCAAGGCAACGAUGCAUAGCCGACCUGAGUGGGUGAUCGGCCACACUGGAACUGAGACACGGUCCAGACUCCUACGGGAGGCAGCAGUAGGGAAUCUUCCGCAAUGGGCGAAAGCCUGACGGAGCAACGCCGCGUGAGUGAUGAAGGUCUUCGGAUCGUAAAACUCUGUUAUUAGGGAAGAACAUAUGUGUAAGUAACUGUGCACAUCUUGACGGUACCUAAUCAGAAAGCCACGGCUAACUACGUG